rnacentral:tRNA from 2 species
GCGGAAGUGGCGGAAUUGGUAGACGCGCUGGAUUUAGGUUCCAGUGCCGCAAGGUGUGAGAGUUCGAGUCUCUCCUUCCGCACCA